GACGAACGCUGGCGGCGUGCUUAACACAUGCAAGUCGAGCGGAUAGGCCCUUCGGGGUACUCGAGCGGCGAACGGGUGAGUAACACGUGAGUAACCUGCCCCAGACUUUGGGAUAACCCUCGGAAACGGGGGCUAAUACCGGAUACGACACAGCUUCGCAUGGGGUCUGUGUGGAAAGUUUUUCGGUUUGGGAUGGGCUCGCGGCCUAUCAGCUUGUUGGUGGGGUGAUGGCCUACCAAGGCGACGACGGGUAGCCGGCCUGAGAGGGCGACCGGCCACACUGGGACUGAGACACGGCCCAGACUCCUACGGGAGGCAGCAGUGGGGAAUAUUGCACAAUGGGCGGAAGCCUGAUGCAGCGACGCCGCGUGAGGGAUGACGGCCUUCGGGUUGUAAACCUCUUUCAGCAGGGACGAAGCGUAAGUGACGGUACCUGCAGAAGAAGCGCCGGCCAACUACGUG
rnacentral:rRNA from 1 species